UGUUUUCUGUUUUUCCUGCUUCUGCGUAGGUGCUGGGAUGGCUGGAGGUGGUCACAUUUUGCAGCUAAUCUGAGGGACGUGUGAAGCAUCAUCUGUACCCCCUGACAUUUGAGAACUUAGAGGUAUGGAUCUUCGGCAUCUGUUGUUUACUUUGGCACUGGUCUGUGCAAAUGACACUCUCUCUACAAGUGAUGACACAUCUGCUUAUGCUGGUUAUGACCUGCUCCUGCAAACCAAAGCAGCCUGCCUAGUCUGCUCUGUCUUGUUGGGGCCUUUGGAGAGAAC